GAUCAAGUGUCUUAAGGGCAAUUGGUGGAUGCCUUGGCAUGCACAGGCGAUGAAGGACGUGAUACGCUGCGAUAAG
rnacentral:rRNA from 1 species